AAUGGGCGCAAGCCUGAUGCAGCCAUGCCGCGUGUAUGAAGAAGGCCUUCGGGUUGUAAAGUACUUUCAGUCGGGAGGAAGGUGGUAAGGUUAAUAACCUUAUCAAUUGACGUUACCGACAGAAGAAGCACCGGCUAACUCCGUGCCAGCAGCCGCGGUAAUACGGAGGGUGCAAGCGUUAAUCGGAAUUACUGGGCGUAAAGCGCACGCAGGCGGUUGAUUGAGUCAGAUGUGAAAUCCCCGGGCUUAACCCGGGAAUUGCAUCUGAUACUGGUCAGCUAGAGUCUUGUAGAGGGGGGUAGAAUUCCAUGUGUAGCGGUGAAAUGCGUAGAGAUGUGGAGGAAUACCGGUGGCGAAGGCGGCCCCCUGGACAAAGACUGACGCUCAGGUGCGAAAGCGUGGGGAGCAAA
rnacentral:rRNA from 1 species